rnacentral:lncRNA from 1 species
UGCAGGGCGUGGGUUAUCGAAGUGGUUGAAGAGCGGGAUGGGUUCGUCUUUGUGCUCUCUUGGCCAAGGGUCUUGCUCGCGAACCGGUGGUGGAGGUGGAGCUGUGCUACUACCGCCGUCGUCGAACCUCCUCUUCGUUCUUCUUUCUUACAUCUGCAACCAAAGUCCACAAACGAAGAUAGAAAAUCAGUAAGGCUCGA